UGCAAUAGCUGUAUCUGCCCUUAGCUUCAUCUCAAGCAGAUAUCUCAGUCCUCAGUUAGGUUCAAUUUCUUUGCCUUCAACGUCAAACUUUAUCUGGCAAGCACCAUCAAAUUCAAUAUGGAAGAGAUAAAAACGAUAACAACAAUAAUUUAAACAGAGAGAAGAGCACAGAAUAUCAGUCAAUGGAUUGUUGAAGCCAUUUUUUAUCAUCCACGUGUUUGGAGUAUACGGAGUUAUACAGGAUCCCCGUAUUUUUAAAUCACGUGAGGGACACUCUCAACCUUUGUUUGGGGUACAGUUCAAUCCUUUUCUUCCUGAGAA